UUACGGCCAUAUCACGCUGAAACACCAGUUCUCGUUCGAUCACCAAAGUUAAGCAACAUUGAACCAAGUCAGUACCUAGAUGGGUGACACUUUGGAAA
rnacentral:rRNA from 1 species